UCGAGAAUCUUCGGCAAUGGGCGCAAGCCUGACCGAGCGACGCCGCGUGUGGGAUGAAGGCCUUCGGGUUGUAAACCACUGUCAGAGGGGAGGAAAUGCGCGGGGGUUCUCCCCCGUGUUUGACCUAUCCUCAGAGGAAGUACGGGCUAAGUUCGUGCCAGCAGCCGCGGUAAGACGAACCGUACGAACGUUAUUCGGAAUCACUGGGCUUAAAGGGUGCGUAGGCGGUGCGGAAAGUUGGGUGUGAAAUCCCUCGGCUCAACCGAGGAACUGCGCCCAAAACUACCGUGCUCGAGGGAAAUAGAGGUGAGCGGAACUUAGGGUGGAGCGGUGAAAUGCGUUGAUAUCCUAAGGAACACCGGUGGCGAAAGCGGCUCACUGGAUUUCUUCUGACGCUGAGGCACGAAAGCUAGGGUAGCGAACGG
rnacentral:rRNA from 1 species